GCCGGAUAAAGCCAUUUUUAAAAGCCCUGGAGACGGACCUCCCCGGACGCCCGAAGAGAGCGUUUCUCGAGACACUCGGCUCCUUGUCUUCGUUUAAAGGAAAAUGCCCUUCUCUAAAGCACUUCAUCCCUGGGGAGGCAUACGUGGCACCAGCUCUGGUCAGGCUUUGCGAGAGGAUUAUGGAGCCACGACUGACGCAUGUGAGAACUGCCGUGACCACUGGCCACUGCUGUGUCUGACAGAGUUGUGGCUACCGGCGGAGCAAGGUGGCUCUCCGGUCCCUGUCGGCUGCUGGCGGGGGACGUCAGUGAACGCGCUGCCCAUGAUUUACCGCUCCCUGUGUCGGAGAUGGAGCAGAGCGAGGGUGGGCCGGCGGGGGCGUGUCCAUGCAGAUGAGCAGACCCCGCGCGGCACCACGGGACACUCCCGCACCGGCCUCGCGCCGCACACCGGAGCGUGCGGGCACCGCGCGGGAGCCGCGGGGCCGGAGGAGCGGCGGGUCGAGGCGCGCGGGGCCGUGCGUGGCGCGGUUGGUUGGUGUUUGUGUCGGCGUGCGGUGUGUGUGUGUGCGCGCGUGUGUGCCGUGGCGGUGGGGGACAAUCACUCAUACUUACCUGGCAGGGGAGACACCAUGAUCAGGCAGGUGGUUUUCCCAGGGCGAGGCUCAUCCUUUGCACUCCGGGUGUGCUGACCCCUGCGAUUUCCCCAAAUGCGGGAAACUCGACUGCAUAAUUUGUGGUAGUGGGGGACUGCGUUCGCGCUCUCCCCUGGCUAAAAA